CCAGUUUUUACCAAUCCACUCUUUCAUGCCACUGUUCUUACUGGCUACAGGUGUGGCCUGUUAACAUCAGCCUGCUCCUAAUCUUUAGUACUUGGUCCAGCUGCAACUCUUUACGGAAAAAGAUUCUAUUCUAUACUACCUUCAUUCACCCAUACUGUAUCCCCCUACACUAAACCAGCUUAAGCAGCAGCUCCUUCUGGGAUUUGCAGUUUGUAGGCUGGAGGCCUGUUUGUGUUCCAGCUGACACAAAUGAACAUGCUGUGGUUAACUGAAGGUGUGAAGAAUCAUACCUCGUGUCUUGGUUGCAGAGUUAGCUACUUACUCCUUCCUUUUAAAGGCCAAGCUGAACUCAGCUCAUUUUGGAUGAUUAAAAAAGGAGUUUUUAUUUUUGUUCUCUGGUUUCUGAGUUUUCUCCUGAAAAAUGUUUUUGAUCUGAUCAAACAAUUUUGUCCUUUCCAGACAGACCUUUAUUCUCACUGCUGCAUCCAUUUCUGCCUUGAGGCAGUGAAGAGGGCUCCUCUUUGCUCUGCAUCCCUGCACAGUUCCACUGAAACUGAAUCAUCUCCAAUGUAUCUGCUAAACCCUGGCUAAACACAAGAAGGUCUGAACACAGCAAGGAAAAAGUCAGGCAUUUACUUUCACAUCAUAUUGCAGUUGAAAAUACAGUUAAAAUAGUGUUGGAUGGCUGGAAAGGAUGGCCUAAUGGAAGUGAUGGAUGGGAGCAGCUGGAGAGAUAGUGAACAUGUCUGUGACUUCUGAAAUUAAUAACCAUGAACUCAGUAAUGAAGUACCCAGGAGAACUUGUGGAAGGAAGAAGCAAUGGAGCUGAGAGUGAGCACCAACCUGGUCAGCAGCAGAUCAGAAGUUAUGUUCAGCUCCCAGCAUCCUGCUUGUCAGCCUGGAAUGCUGCUGGACCUUCCAUGCAGUUGUGCUGCCUUCACAGCAAAGCCUCCAGCCAGAUGAAAUUUGUAUGUGUGAGGAGUCUGUGCUGGGUGGAAAUACCUGAAAUACUGCAGGUACCUGUUGGUUUAAGAACAAGCAUCCACGAAUGAAUGUAAUUUUGAAUUGUCCCAUUGACUGACCAACAGCCCCUCUCCUGCUGGGGCUCAGCAGUGCGGCUCUUCCUAUGUCUGCACAGACACCGUGUAGGCUGAAAAUUAAAUGAGAAGACAAAAAAAAUCACCUUAAACAUACAAUGUUCCUUACAGGGUUGUGUUUAUGCAACAGAGAGAGCCAAGGAGAAGAUGUGACCCAUGUACUCUGGUUAUAGAGCUAUAAUCUUAUGGAAAUUUAAUGUUUUGGUAAUCCUAGGUUCUCCUUUGGGACUCUGGCCUAUGUCUGUGUUGAUAUUUCAAGCUGCAGGAGCUGAGGCCUAAACCAAGCUCCUCAAACAAAAUGCCAUAACAUUGCCAAGGCAAAGGAAAUAACUGUGGUGGAAGACACAUGGAAAAGCAAAUUCAGUGAGUAGGGAACUUGUAGCUACUCAGACAUGCGAAGGGAAGAGCAUUCACUGAAGAAGCAGAGUGGAACUCUCCUCCAUUUAAAUGUACUCACUGACUGAAGUGGGAACAUUCAAAGCAUAUUUUUCUGCUAUUAAGCAAGCACCAGCUGCUGGAACAGAGGGAUGUGCAGGAGAGUGGAUCCAGCAGUUCCCUCCUUUGCCAUGCUCUGAGAGCACCUCAAAGGCUGCCCUGGCCUCCAAUGCCUCCUAAGAGAUCCCAGAGGAUGAGAACUGGUGAUGACAACUCCAGCAACACAAACUCCCAUCUCCUCUCCUGCCUGGAUAGGAAUCCAGAGGAAUUUUCCUAGGGAUUGGGAUACCCUUCAGAUAUAACAAGAAUGUUUUGAUAUAUGGAAUAUUCA